rnacentral:rRNA from 1 species
UACGUAGGGUGCAAGCGUUAUCCGGAAUUAUUGGGCGUAAAGAGCUCGUAGGCGGUUUGUCGCGUCUGCUGUGAAAACUGGAGGCUCAACCUCCAGCCUGCAGUGGGUACGGGCAGACUAGAGUGCGGUAGGGGAGAUUGGAAUUCCUGGUGUAGCGGUGGAAUGCGCAGAUAUCAGGAGGAACACCGAUGGCGAAGGCAGAUCUCUGGGCCGUAACUGACACUGAUAGACGAAAGCUAGGGGAGCAAAUGGG